rnacentral:lncRNA from 1 species
ACACUUUGACAAAUACACUAUGCUUAAGUACUUUCAGUGUUUUAUAUCAUCAAACUUAAUAUUAGUUCUUUAGGAAAUAUGUUUUGUUGUUCUCAUAUAUUAGUAUUGUUAAAUUCCAUUUGAGGUAGCUUUUGAAAGAGGUAUUAAAUAAUAGUUCUAUGCAAACUAUUUAGAAAGUUUUGCUGAUACAUUUCUUUGUUAAAAUGCACAUCUUAACAAUAAUUUUUUUUCCUGCAUUUAAUAGCUUUUGGGCCUUCUUUUACCACAUUAUAUAGAAACCUUCAAAAGGCUGGCCAAUGUGGCCUAAGGCUUUUUUUUUUUUUAGGAUUCUAUAAUAUUUAGCAUUCUAUUUUUCUAGAGCCCUUGAACCC